UUUUAUCUUUUUGGUGCAUUAAUCUUUCAUUAACUUUUAAGAUCCUUUCUUGUGUUUCAUAUACUAUUUUUUUUUUUUUGGUACCAGGGAUUGAUCUUGGGACCUUGUGCUUGUGAGGCAGGCAGUGGAACCACUGAGAUGUGCUUGUUUUUGAAUGCUCUCGUCUUCAAUGUCUGGCUCCUAAUAAUGAAGAAAUGUGAUGAAGGAAGACCAAAGGAUUGGGUCAUUAAAUACCCUGAAAAUCACUUCAGCCAGAGAAGAUCUUUCAACAGUGUGGGAAGUAUCAUCUUAAUGCUGACCUGAUACUGUGACUUGGGAAAUAGUCCCUCCUUUCCAAUGUUCUGGAAGAUUUUUGUAUAAAAUUUCUGUUAAUUUUUCUAAAUAUUUAGUAUAAUUAACUAGGGAACCCAUCUGCCCCUUGGUUUUUUGUGGGAAGUCUUAUCCAAGUUGUCAAUUUUAUUGGGAUAAAUUUAUUUAUAAUAUUUCCUUCUUAGCCUUUUAAUACAAUAUCUCUAAAAUCUGUAGUAAUAUCAUUUAUCUGAUUCCUGAUUCUAGUUGUCUGUAUUUUUCUCUUCUUUUCUUGCUCAUUCACACUAGCCACUUAUCACUUCUCUCAAAGAGGCAGUUUUUGCUUUUUAAAAUUUUUUUAUCCAUUUUCAUGUUUCCUAUUUCAUUGAUUCCUUUUUUACAUUUAUUGUUUUCUUUUUACUACAUUCUUUGAAUUUAAUUUGUGCUGUUUUCUCUAGUUGCCUAAUGUGGAAAUAGAUGUCAUUAAUUUUAGCUGUUUCUUCUCUUCUAAUAUUGGUAUUGGUGCUGUAAAAGUGUGGCAUUUUAUACUUUUUCAUUUUCAUUAAGUUGAAAAUACUUUUAAAUUUACCUUUCAAUUUUUUGCCUCAUGUUGUUUGCAAAUGUAGUAUUUACUUUCUAAAUAUUUAGAUUACUUAAAAAA